CAUUAGAUGGCUGAAAACAAGCAAUGGAAUUUUAAAUCAAGUUAUAGUAGUGUGGUGCCUACUUCUAAUGG
rnacentral:tRNA from 1 species